rnacentral:tRNA from 1 species
GGUUUCGUGGUGUAGUGGUUAUCACGUCUGCUUCACACGCAGAAGGUCGCGAGUUCGAGCCUCGCCAAAACCU